GUGCUCGCUUUAGCAGCACAUAUACUAAAAUUGGAGCAAUACAAAGAUUAGCAUGGCCCCUGUGCAAAGAUUACAAUCAAGUUCAUAAAGUGUUCCAUAUUAAA